GGGCGGUUAGCUCAGUGGUAGAGCACUGCCUUCACACGGCAGGGGCCAGUGGUUCGAACCCACUACCGCCCACCA
rnacentral:tRNA from 3 species